rnacentral:rRNA from 1 species
GAGAUUCCCCCAGUAGCGGCGAGCGAACGGGGAGCAGCCCAGAGCCUGAAUCAGUGUGUGUGUUAGUGGAAGCGUCUGGAAAGGCGCGCGAUACAGGGUGACAGCCCCGUACACAAAAAUGCACAUGCUGUGAGCUCGAUGAGUAGGGCGGGACACGUGGUAUCCUGUCUGAAUAUGGGGGGACCAUCCUCCAAGGCUAAAUACUCCUGACUGACCGAUAGUGAACCAGUACCGUGAGGGAAAGGCGAAAAGAACCCCGGCGAGGGGAGUGAAAAAGAACCUGAAACCGUGUACGUACAAGCAGUGGGAGCACGCUUAGGCGUGUGACUGCGUACCUUUUGUAUAAUGGGUCAGCGACUUAUAUUCUGUAGCAAGGUUAACCGAAUAGGGGAGCCGAAGGGAAACCGAGUCUUAACUGGGCGUUAAGUUGCAGGGUAUAGACCCGAAACCCGGUGAUCUAGCCAUGGGCAGGUUGAAGGUUGGGUAACACUAACUGGAGGACCGAACCGACUAAUGUUGAAAAAUUAGCGGAUGACUUGUGGCUGGGGGUGAAAGGCCAAUCAAACCGGGAGAUAGCUGGUUCUCCCCGAAAGCUAUUUAGGUAGCGCCUCGUGAAUUCAUCUCCGGGGGUAGAGCACUGUUUCGGCAAGGGGGUCAUCCCGACUUACCAACCCGAUGCAAACUGCGAAUACCGGAGAAUGUUAUCACGGGAGACACACGGCGGGUGCUAACGUCCGUCGUGAAGAGGGAAACAACCCAGACCGCCAGCUAAGGUCCCAAAGUCAUGGUUAAGUGGGAAACGAUGUGGGAAGGCCCAGACAGCCAGGAUGUUGGCUUAGAAGCAGCCAUCAUUUAAAGAAAGCGUAAUAGCUCACUGGUCGAGUCGGCCUGCGCGGAAGAUGUAACGGGGCUAAACCAUGCACCGAAGCUGCGGCAGCGACGCUUAUGCGUUGUUGGGUAGGGGAGCGUUCUGUAAGCCUGUGAAGGUGUGCUGUGAGGCAUGCUGGAGGUAUCAGAAGUGCGAAUGCUGACAUAAGUAACGAUAAAGCGGGUGAAAAGCCCGCUCGCCGGAAGACCAAGGGUUCCUGUCCAACGUUAAUCGGGGCAGGGUGAGUCGACCCCUAAGGCGAGGCCGAAAGGCGUAGUCGAUGGGAAACAGGUUAAUAUUCCUGUACUUGGUGUUACUGCGAAGGGGGGACGGAGAAGGCUAUGUUGGCCGGGCGACGGUUGUCCCGGUUUAAGCGUGUAGGCUGGUUUUCCAGGCAAAUCCGGAAAAUCAAGGCUGAGGCGUGAUGACGAGGCACUACGGUGCUGAAGCAACAAAUGCCCUGCUUCCAGGAAAAGCCUCUAAGCAUCAGGUAACAUCAAAUCGUACCCCAAACCGACACAGGUGGUCAGGUAGAGAAUACCAAGGCGCUUGAGAGAACUCGGGUGAAGGAACUAGGCAAAAUGGUGCCGUAACUUCGGGAGAAGGCACGCUGAUAUGUAGGUGAAGUCCCUCGCGGAUGGAGCUGAAAUCAGUCGAAGAUACCAGCUGGCUGCAACUGUUUAUUAAAAACACAGCACUGUGCAAACACGAAAGUGGACGUAUACGGUGUGACGCCUGCCCGGUGCCGGAAGGUUAAUUGAUGGGGUCAGCGCAAGCGAAGCUCUUGAUCGAAGCCCCGGUAAACGGCGGCCGUAACUAUAACGGUCCUAAGGUAGCGAAAUUCCUUGUCGGGUAAGUUCCGACCUGCACGAAUGGCGUAAUGAUGGCCAGGCUGUCUCCACCCGAGACUCAGUGAAAUUGAACUCGCUGUGAAGAUGCAGUGUACCCGCGGCAAGACGGAAAGACCCCGUGAACCUUUACUAUAGCUUGACACUGAACAUUGAGCCUUGAUGUGUAGGAUAGGUGGGAGGCUUAGAAGUGUGGACGCCAGUCUGCAUGGAGCCGACCUUGAAAUACCACCCUUUAAUGUUUGAUGUUCUAACGUUGACCCGUAAUCCGGGUUGCGGACAGUGUCUGGUGGGUAGUUUGACUGGGGCGGUCUCCUCCUAAAGAGUAACGGAGGAGCACGAAGGUUGGCUAAUCCUGGUCGGACAUCAGGAGGUUAGUGCAAUGGCAUAAGCCAGCUUGACUGCGAGCGUGACGGCGCGAGCAGGUGCGAAAGCAGGUCAUAGUGAUCCGGUGGUUCUGAAUGGAAGGGCCAUCGCUCAACGGAUAAAAGGUACUCCGGGGAUAACAGGCUGAUACCGCCCAAGAGUUCAUAUCGACGGCGGUGUUUGGCACCUCGAUGUCGGCUCAUCACAUCCUGGGGCUGAAGUAGGUCCCAAGGGUAUGGCUGUUCGCCAUUUAAAGUGGUACGCGAGCUGGGUUUAGAACGUCGUGAGACAGUUCGGUCCCUAUCUGCCGUGGGCGCUGGAGAACUGAGGGGGGCUGCUCCUAGUACGAGAGGACCGGAGUGGACGCAUCACUGGUGUUCGGGUUGUCAUGCCAAUGGCACUGCCCGGUAGCUAAAUGCGGAAGAGAUAAGUGCUGAAAGCAUCUAAGCACGAAACUUGCC